CGGUCCCAUCAUACCAGCACUAAAGCACCGGAUCCCAUCAGAACUCCGAAGUUAAGCGUGCUUGGGCGAGAGUAGUACUAGGAUGGGUGACCUCCUGGGAAGUCCUCGUGUUGCAUUCC
rfam:Triticum urartu cultivar G1812 contig749987, whole genome shotgun sequence.